rnacentral:rRNA from 1 species
CCUACGGGGGGCUGCAGUAGGGAAUCUUUCACAAUGGGCGAAAGCCUGAUGGAGCAACGCCGCGUGCAGGAUGAAGGCCUUCGGGUUGUAAACUGCUUUUAUAAGCGAGAAAUAUGAUGGUAACUUAUGAAUAAGGAUCGGCUAACUACGUGCCAGCAGCCGCGGUCAUACGUAGGAUCCGAGCAUUAUCCGGAGUGACUGGGGGUAAAGAGUUGCGUAGGUGGCAUAAUAAGUAGCUAGUGAAAUCUGGUGGCUCAACCAUUCAGACUAUUAGCUAAACUGUUAAGCUCGAGACCGUUAGGGGUAACUGGAAUUUCUAGUGUAGGAGUGAAAUGCGUAGAUAUUAGAAGGAACACCAAUGGCGUAGGCAGGUUACUGGGACGGUACUGACACUGAGGCACGAAAGCGUAGGGAGCAAACGGGAUUAGAUACCCGAGUAGUC